rnacentral:lncRNA from 1 species
CACCUUGUGUCCCCCAUCAAUCAUAGCAUCCUCAACUAAUUUCACAUCGCGAUCAUUCGCUUCGAAAGGACUAGAUUUUGCAAUAACUAGCUCCAUCUUUUCAUUUCUCAACUUAUUGCUUGAUUUCAUUUCUUGGAUCAUUUAGUUCUCUAAGAAUAGCUUCAUGCUCAGACUUAAUCUUGUAAAACUUAUCUUUAGGACAAGAAGCAUCACGCUCAAUCCUAGCAAUAUAGGCUACGUGUUCUCUCUUGGUUGAAUCUAAAUCUGAGGAAAUCUUCUUGGCAUCAGCUAUCAAGGAAGCCUCCUUCGCCACGAAAGCUUCGUCAACCUUACUAAUCUCCUUGAGCUCAUCCCUUACAUCACCAACCUCCUUUAACUUUCUCUAGAGAAAGCUGCACAUCUUCAUUAGAGACAGCUAUCUUUUACAAGCUAGCUACCUUCGAGAUGCAAUCAUCAUAGUCAAAUGGCUGAUAUUGAGAUAAAAUCGUAGCUCUCUGAAAAUGGGUAUCAAUCAAAUUUCCCAUCUCAAUAAGAG